rnacentral:rRNA from 1 species
GACGAACGCUGGCGGCGUGCUUAACACAUGCAAGUCGAACGGAAAGGCCCUGCUUUUGUGGGGUGCUCGAGUGGCGAACGGGUGAGUAACACAUGAGUAACCUGCCCUUGACUUUGGGAUAACUUCAGGAAACUGGGGCUAAUACCGGAUAGGAGCUCCUGCUGCAUGGUGGGGGUUGGAAAGUUUCGGCGGUUGGGGAUGGACUCGCGGCUUAUCAGCUUGUUGGUGGGGUAGUGGCUUACCAAGGCUUUGACGGGUAGCCGGCCUGAGAGGGUGACCGGCCACAUUGGGACUGAGAUACGGCCCAGACUCCUACGGGAGGCAGCAGUGGGGAAUAUUGCACAAUGGGCGGAAGCCUGAUGCAGCAACGCCGCGUGCGGGAUGACGGCCUUCGGGUUGUAAACCGCUUUCGCCUGUGACGAAGCGUGAGUGACGGUAAUGGGUAAAGAAGCACCGGCUAACUACGUGCCAGCAGCCGCGGUGAUACGUAGGGUGCGAGCGUUGUCCGGAUUUAUUGGGCGUAAAGGGCUCGUAGGUGGUUGAUCGCGUCGGAAGUGUAAUCUUGGGGCUUAACCCUGAGCGUGCUUUCGAUACGGGUUGACUUGAGGAAGGUAGGGGAGAAUGGAAUUCCUGGUGGAGCGGUGGAAUGCGCAGAUAUCAGGAGGAACACCAGUGGCGAAGGCGGUUCUCUGGGGCUUUCCUGACGCUGAGGAGCGAAAGCGUGGGGAGCGAACAGGCUUAGAUACCCUGGUAGUCCACGCUGUAAACGGUGGGUACUAGGUGUGGGGUCCAUUCCCACGGGUUCCGUGCCGUAGCUAACGCUUUAAGUACCCCGCCUGGGGAGUACGGCCGCAAGGCUAAAACUCAAAGGAAUUGACGGGGCCCCGCACAAGCGGCGGAGCAUGCGGAUUAAUUCGAUGCAACGCGUAGAACCUUACCUGGGUUUGACAUGGAUCGGGAGUGCUCAGAGAUGGGUGUGCCUCUUUUGGGGUCGGUUCACAGGUGGUGCAUGGCUGUCGUCAGCUCGUGUCGUGAGAUGUUGGGUUAAGUCCCGCAACGAGCGCAACCCUUGUUCACUGUUGCCAGCACGUUAUGGUGGGGACUCAGUGGAGACCGCCGGGGUCAACUCGGAGGAAGGUGGGGGUGACGUCAAGUCAUCAUGCCCCUUAUGUCCAGGGCUUCACGCAUGCUACAAUGGCUGGUACAGAGAGUGGCGAGCCUGUGAGGGUGAGCGAAUCUCGGAAAGCCGGUCUCAGUUCGGAUUGGGGUCUGCAACUCGACCUCAUGAAGUCGGAGUCGCUAGUAAUCGCAGAUCAGCAACGCUGCGGUGAAUACGUUCCCGGGGCU